rnacentral:rRNA from 1 species
CCCAACGGAGGCUGUGAUGGGUAGGGGAGCGUCGUGUGCCGGGUGAAGCUGCCGCGUAAGCGAGUGGUGGACGGUUCACGAGUGAGAAUGCAGGCAUGAGUAGCGAUUCACACGUGAGAAACGUGUGCGCCGAUUGACUAAGGGUUCCUGGGUCAAGCUGAUCUGCCCAGGGUAAGUCGGGACCUAAGGCGAGGCCGACAGGCGUAGUCGAUGGAUAACCGGUUGAUAUUCCGGUACCCGCUGUGAAGCGUCAAACAUUGAAUCCAGUGAUGCUAAGCCCGUGAAGCCGCCCUGAUCUCUUCGGAGUUGAGGGGAGUGGUGGAGCCGGUGACCCAGGCUGGUAGUAGGUGAGUGAUGGGGUGACGCAGGAAGGUAGUCCAUCCCGGGCGGUGGUUGUCCCGGGGUAAGGGUGUAGGGCGUUGCGUAGGUAAAUCCGCGCAGCUUGUGCCUGAGACCUGAUGCCGAGCCGAUUGUGGUGAAGUGGAUGAUCCUAUGCUGUCGAGAAAAGCCUCUAGCGAGUUUCAUGGCGGCCCGUACCCUAAACCGACUCAGGUGGUCUGGUAGAGAAUACCGAGGCGUUCGGGUGAACUAUGGUUAAGGAACUCGGCAAAAUGCCCCCGUAACUUCGGGAGAAGGGGGGCCACGCUUGGUGAUCCGAUUUUACUCGGUGAGCUGGGGGUGGCCGCAGAGACCAGCGAGAAGCGACUGUUUACUAAAAACACAGGUCCGUGCGAAGCCGUAAGGCGAUGUAUACGGACUGACGCCUGCCCGGUGCUGGAACGUUAAGGGGACCGGUUAGCUGACUUUCGGGUUGGCGAAGCUGAGAACUUAAGCGCCAGUAAACGGCGGUGGUAACUAUAACCAUCCUAAGGUAGCGAAAUUCCUUGUCGGGUAAGUUCCGACCUGCACGAAUGGCGUAACGACUUCUCGACUGUCUCAACCAUAGGCCCGGUGAAAUUGCAUUACGAGUAAAGAUGCUCGUUUCGCGCAGCAGGACGGAAAGACCCCGGGACCUUUACUACAGUUUGAUAUUGGUGUUCGGUUCGGCUUGUGUAGGAUAGGUGGGAGACUGUGAAGCGGCCACGCCAGUGGUUGUGGAGUCGUUGUUGAAAUACCACUCUGGUCGUGCUGGAUGUCUAACCCGGGUCCGUGAUCCGGAUCGGGGACAGUGUCUGAUGGGUAGUUUAACUGGGGCGGUUGCCUCCUAAAGAGUAACGGAGGCGCCCAAAGGUUCCCUCAGCCUGGUUGGUAAUCAGGUGGUGAGUGUAAGUGCACAAGGGAGCUUGACUGUGAGACCGACGGGUCGAGCAGGGACGAAAGUCGGGACUAGUGAUCCGGCGGUGGCUUGUGGAAGCGCCGUCGCUCAACGGAUAAAAGGUACCCCGGGGAUAACAGGCUGAUCUUCCCCAAGAGUCCAUAUCGACGGGAUGGUUUGGCACCUCGAUGUCGGCUCGUCGCAUCCUGGGGCUGGAGUCGGUCCCAAGGGUUGGGCUGUUCGCCCAUUAAAGCGGUACGCGAGCUGGGUUUAGAACGUCGUGAGACAGUUCGGUCCCUAUCCGCUGUGCGCGUAGGAAUAUUGAGAAGGGCUGUCCCUAGUACGAGAGGACCGGGACGGACGAACCUCUGGUGUGCCAGUUGUUCUGCCAAGGGCAUGGCUGGUUGGCUACGUUCGGGAGGGAUAACCGCUGAAAGCAUCUAAGCGGGAAGCCUGCUUCGAGAUGAGUAUUCCCACCUCCUUGAGAGGGUAAGGCUCCCAGUAGACGACUGGGUUGAUAGGCCGGAUAUGGAAGCCCUGUAAGGGGUGGAGUUGACCGGUACUAAUAGGCCGAGGGCUUGUCCUCAGUUG